rnacentral:rRNA from 1 species
UGUGUAGGCGGUUUCGCAAGUUGGAAGUGUAAUACCUAGAGCUUAACUCAGGUGCUGCUUCCAAAACUGCGGGACUUGAGUGUCGGAGAGGAAAAUGGAAUUCCUAGUGUAGCGGUGGAAUGCGUAGAUAUUAGGAGGAACACCAGAGGCGAAAGCGAUUUUCUGGACGAUAACUGACGCUGAGGCACGAAAGCGUGGGGAGCAAACA